UACGGGAGGGCAGCAGUGGGGAAUAUUGGGCAAUGGGCGAAAGCCUGACCCAGCAACGCCGCGUGAGUGAAGAAGGCUUUCGGGUUGUAAAGCUCUGUUAUAGGGGACGAAGGAAGUGACGGUACCCUAUAAGGAAGCCCCGGCUAACUACGUGCCAGCAGCCGCGGUAAU
rnacentral:rRNA from 1 species